AGAGUUUGAUCCUGGCUCAGGACGAACGCCGGCGGCGUGCCUAAUACAUGCAAGUCGAGCGAGCUUGCCUAGAUGAUUUUAGUGCUUGCACUAAAUGAAACUAGAUACAAGCGAGCGGCGGACGGGUGAGUAACACGUGGGUAACCUGCCCAAGAGACUGGGAUAACACCUGGAAACAGAUGCUAAUACCGGAUAACAACACUAGACGCAUGUCUAGAGUUUGAAAGAUGGUUCUGCUAUCACUCUUGGAUGGACCUGCGGUGCAUUAGCUAGUUGGUAAGGUAACGGCUUACCAAGGCAAUGAUGCAUAGCCGAGUUGAGAGACUGAUCGGCCACAUUGGGACUGAGACACGGCCCAAACUCCUACGGGAGGCAGCAGUAGGGAAUCUUCCACAAUGGACGAAAGUCUGAUGGAGCAACGCCGCGUGAGUGAAGAAGGGUUUCGGCUCGUAAAGCUCUGUUGGUAGUGAAGAAAGAUAGAGGUAGUAACUGGCCUUUUAUUUGACGGUAAUUACUUAGAAAGUCACGGCUAACUACGUGCCAGCAGCCGCGGUAAUACGUAGGUGGCAAGCGUUGUCCGGAUUUAUUGGGCGUAAAGCGAGUGCAGGCGGUUCAAUAAGUCUGAUGUGAAAGCCUUCGGCUCAACCGGAGAAUUGCAUCAGAAACUGUUGAACUUGAGUGCAGAAGAGGAGAGUGGAACUCCAUGUGUAGCGGUGGAAUGCGUAGAUAUAUGGAAGAACACCAGUGGCGAAGGCGGCUCUCUGGUCUGCAACUGACGCUGAGGCUCGAAAGCAUGGGUAGCGAACAGGAUUAGAUACCCUGGUAGUCCAUGCCGUAAACGAUGAGUGCUAAGUGUUGGGAGGUUUCCGCCUCUCAGUGCUGCAGCU
rnacentral:rRNA from 1 species